rnacentral:rRNA from 1 species
AGAGUUUGAUCCUGGCUCAGGAUGAACGCUGGCGGUAUGCUUAACACAUGCAAGUCGAACGGACUCUUCGGAGUUAGUGGCGGACGGGUGAGUAACGCGUGAGAAUUUGGCUUCAGGUCGGGGACAACAGUUGGAAACGACUGCUAAUACCGGAUGUGCCGAAAGGUGAAAGAUUUAUCGCCUGAAGAUAAGCUCGCGUCUGAUUAGCUAGUUGGUGGUGUAAGGGACUACCAAGGCGACGAUCAGUAGCUGGUCUGAGAGGAUGAUCAGCCACACUGGGACUGAGACACGGCCCAGACUCCUACGGGAGGCAGCAGUGGGGAAUUUUCCGCAAUGGGCGAAAGCCUGACGGAGCAAUACCGCGUGAGGGAGGAAGGCUCUUGGGUCGUAAACCUCUUUUCUCAAGGAAGAACACAAUGACGGUACUUGAGGAAUAAGCAUCGGCUAACUCCGUGCCAGCAGCCGCGGUAAUACGGAGGAUGCAAGCGUUAUCCGGAAUGAUUGGGCGUAAAGGGUCUGUAGGUGGUACUGAAAGUCUGCUGUUAAAGAGCAAGGCUCAACCUUGUAAAAGCAGUGGAAACUACAGAACUAGAGUGCGGUAGGGGCAAAAGGAAUUCCUGGUGUAGCGGUGAAAUGCGUAGAUAUCAGGAAGAACACCGGUGGCGAAAGCGUUUUGCUAGACCGCAACUGACACUGAGGGACGAAAGCUAGGGGAGCGAAUGGGAUUAGAUACCCCAGUAGUCCUAGCCGUAAACGAUGGAUACUAGGCGUGGCUUGUAUCGACCCGAGCCGUGCCGGAGCUAACGCGUUAAGUAUCCCGCCUGGGGAGUACGCACGCAAGUGUGAAACUCAAAGGAAUUGACGG